rnacentral:rRNA from 1 species
CCCUUAGAGUUUGAUCCUGGCUCAGAGUGAACGCUGGCGGCAGGCCUAACACAUGCAAGUCGAACGGCAGCACAGCAGUAGCGAUACUGUGGGUGGCGAGUGGCGGACGGGUGAGGAAUGCAUCGGAAUCUGCCUAUUUGUGGGGGAUAACGUAGGGAAACUUACGCUAAUACCGCAUACGUCCUACGGGAGAAAGUGGGGGACCUUCGGGCCUCACGCAGGUAGAUGAGCCGAUGCCGGAUUAGCUAGUUGGCGGGGUAAAGGCCCACCAAGGCGACGAUCCGUAGCUGGUCUGAGAGGAUGAUCAGCCACACUGGAACUGAGACACGGUCCAGACUCCUACGGGAGGCAGCAGUGGGGAAUAUUGGACAAUGGGCGCAAGCCUGAUCCAGCCAUGCCGCGUGUGUGAAGAAGGCCUUCGGGUUGUAAAGCACUUUUGUCCGGAAAGAAAAGCUUCGGGUUAAUAACCCGGGGUUAUGACGGUACCGGAAGAAUAAGCACCGGCUAACUUCGUGCCAGCAGCCGCGGUAAUACGAAGGGUGCAAGCGUUACUCGGAAUUACUGGGCGUAAAGCGUGCGUAGGUGGUUUGUUAAGUCUGAUGUGAAAGCCCUGGGCUCAACCUGGGAACUGCAUUGGAAACUGGCUGACUAGAGUGCGGUAGAGGGGUGUGGAAUUCCCGGUGUAGCAGUGAAAUGCGUAGAUAUCGGGAGGAACAUCUGU